rnacentral:tRNA from 1 species
UGUCCAAUGCGGGAAUCGAACCCGCGUCGUAGUGGUCGAAAACCAAUGGUUUAUACCAUCCUUCCACUAACCC